rnacentral:rRNA from 1 species
CCUGGGACUGCAUUGGAAACUGUCUGGCUCGAGUGCCGGAGAGGUAAGCGGAAUUCUUAGUGUAGCGGUGAAAUGCGUAGAUAUUAGGAAGAACACCAGUGGCGAAGGCGGCUUACUGGACGGUAACUGACGUUGAGGCUCGAAAGCGUGGGGAGCGAACAGGAUUAGAUACCCUGGUAGUGCACGCCGUAAACGAUGAAUGCUAGGUGUUGGGGAGCACAGCUCUUCGGUGCCGCCGCAAACGCACUAAGCAUUCCACCUGGGGAGUACGUUCGCAAGAAUGAAACUCAAAGGAAUUGACGGGGAGCCGCACAAGCGGUGGAGCACGUGGUUUAAUUCGAAGCAACGCGAAGAGCCUUACCAGGUCUUGACAUCCCGAUGACCGCCCCGUAACGGGGCCUUCUCUUCGGAGCACUGGAGACAGGUGGUGCAUGGUGGUCGUCAGCUCGUGUCGUGAGAUGUUGGGUUAAGUCCCGCACCGAGCGCACCCCUUAUCUUCAGUAGCCAGCAGGUCAAGCUGGGCACUCUGUGGAGACUGCCAGGGAUAACCUGGAGGAAGGUGGGGAUGACGUCAAAUCAUCAUGCCCCUUAUGAUCUGGGCUACACACGUGCUACAAUGGCGUAAACAAAGGGAGGCAAAGCCGCGAGGUGGAGCAAAUCCCAAAAAUAACGUCUCAGUUCGGACUGCAGUCUGCAACUCGACUGCACGAAGCUGGAAUCGCUAGUAAUCGCGAAUCAGAAUGUCGCGGUGAAUACGUUCCCGGGUCUUGUACACACCGCCAGUGACACCAUGGGAGUUGGUAACGCCCGAAGUCAGUGACCCAACCUUUAGGAGGGAGCUGCCGAAGGCG